GCAAAUGAUGACUUAAAAUUUCUUCACUUUGACCUGAUGUCUCUUGAAGAAAUAUAUUAUCUGAGC